rnacentral:rRNA from 1 species
AAUGAACGCUGGCGGCAGGCCUAACACAUGCAAGUCGAACGGAUCCUUCGGGAUUAGUGGCGGACGGGUGAGUAACGCGUGGGAACGUGCCCUUUGGUUCGGAAUAGCCUCGGGAAACUGGGAGUAAUACCGGAUAAGCCCUUCGGGGGAAAGAUUUAUCGCCAAAGGAUCGGCCCGCGUUGGAUUAGGUAGUUGGUGGGGUAAUGGCCUACCAAGCCGACGAUCCAUAGCUGGUCUGAGAGGAUGAUCAGCCACACUGGGACUGAGACACGGCCCAGACUCCUACGGGAGGCAGCAGUGGGGAAUCUUAGACAAUGGGGGAAACCCUGAUCUAGCCAUGCCGCGUGAUCGAUGAAGGCCUUAGGGUUGUAAAGAUCUUUCAGUUGGGAAGAUAAUGACGGUACCAACAGAAGAAGCCCCGGCUAACUCCGUGCCAGCAGCCGCCGUAA